CCUACGGGGGGCAGCAGUGGGGAAUAUUGCACAAUGGGGGAAACCCUGAUGCAGCAACGCCGCGUGAGUGAAGAAGUAUUUCGGUAUGUAAAGCUCUAUCAGCAGGGAAGAAGAUGACGGUACCUGAUUAAGAAGCCCCGGCUAACUACGUGCCAGCAGCCGCGGUAAUACGUAGGGGGCAAGCGUUAUCCGGAUUUACUGGGUGUAAAGGGUGCGCAGGCGGAAUGUCAAGUCAGCGGUAAAAUUUCGGGGCCCAACCCCGUCGUGCCGUUGAAACUGGCGUUCUUGAGUGAGCGAGAAGUAUG
rnacentral:rRNA from 1 species